GGUGGUAUAGUGUAGUGGUUAUCACUCAGGAUUUUGAAGUGGUGUUUUCAGACUUUCCUGAAACCCAGGUUCGAACCCUGGUACUACCU
rfam:Fistulina hepatica ATCC 64428 unplaced genomic scaffold FISHEscaffold_518, whole genome shotgun sequence.